rnacentral:rRNA from 1 species
AUGAUGAUGAAAAACAAGCGCAGGAUGGGAGUCCAUGAGAAACAACGUCCUUGCAAGAAAGUAAUUAGGCCAACUUUAGAUGGUACCUCCUCAGCGAGAUCGGACAGCUCGAGGGAACCCAGUCCAGGCGCGUUGAGUCAACUCAGUGAGCAAGUAGUUUCAAGAUUGUGUAGGAGUGUUGUGUCGCUCGCCUCAUUCCAUGGUGAUACCAAGUUAGGGGAAUGCACAGGCAUAUGCAUCGAAACCUCAUGCCCUGAUGCUACAAGUUUCCUGACAUCGAGACUUUUGAUUCCACUUACUUGGCCUACAAGGGAGAUCACUGAAAAUUUGACGAUUGAAGUGCACCUUCCAAAUGGUCGGACUGUCACUGGCUGGAUAGAGCAUCCUGGGAGAUAUGUUGAUUUUUUAAUCGUCAAUGUCAAGGACUUGUCUGUAUUUGAUGUCGCGCGUGUAAGUCUUGAUUGUGACAUGCAGUUUGAACCUUAUAGGAAGGUAGCAGCUGUAUGGCGCAAUUUCAGUUCAGGACUUUUAGGGGCCACAAGCGGAGUAGAUCUUGCCUCUCUAAGCGCUCUAACCAGUGAGACAAUGUUCAGCACAUGCCAGAUCAACAAGGCUGGGAUUGGAGGCCCCCUUGUUGAUUUUGAUGGUAACUUUGUUGGGAUGAACUGCUCUCGUACCAGAAGGAAAAAGACCCCCUACGUGCGAAGGGAGCAAAUCCUUCAAUUCUUGGAGUAUUACAGGAUGGUCAGUGUUAGAGCUAAGGAAGAGAUUGAUGAUGCUGAAGAACCCGGAAUCGAAAGUGAGAUGAAACAACUACUUUGCAGCAUUCCAGGAGGCAAGCGUAAGAUUCAUUUUCUUGAAGCAAAUUUCGUCGACGAUAUCUGGAGUAAACUACCCAAAGGCGUUGCUUCAAAAAUGUCUCGAAGUGUUGUCUCACUUGCUUCAUUCAAUGGAGUUGCAAAAUUCUUUGCUUGCACUGGUGUAUUUAUAAAGUGCAAUGCAUGCUCUGCAACAAUUCUGACUUCAGCAAGUUUGGUUAGAGUUUCUGGUGAUGCAAACAGGAUUGAUGAUAACCUGAGGAUUGAAGUUUGCCUUCCAAACCAAUUUCGAGUCGUAGGGAUACUGAAACGUUAUAAUUUACAUUACAACGUUGCUCUUGUUGACAUCAUGGGGUACUGGGGUCCUCGUGAAAUAAAAAUUGGCAGGCAUCUAGUUACCUCAUGUAAAAGUGUAAUAGCUGUGGGGCGUCUUUUUACUUAUCACAGUAUAAUGGCUGCAAAGGGCAAGUUGUUGAUUGGCAAACGAAGCAAGCUCGAUUGCAAAGAACUAUGCGUCUCCACGUGUAAAAUCACCAAGGCUGGGAUUGGAGGCCCACUUAUUGACACUGGUGGGAAUUUUCUUGGUAUGAACUUUUACCAUGAGGAAGAAACUCCGUUCCUGCCGAGGGAUGUUAUUCACCGCCUCUUGUUGAACUUAAAUAAAGGAUGGACUAGGGCAGAUGAGACUAUUGUUGAGGGUGACGAAAAGAGAUGGCUGUUGGCUGGUACAUGUUGGUCCCAUGGAAAUGCCGAGGGUGGUGUCAACAAGUGGCCGUUGCCCGAGCCAUGUGUGCUCCCUGCUGAUAUACCUGACCCUAGUACACUGGAUUUCUACAAGCUGGAUAGGAUGCAGUGUGCUUUUUAGUCCUGCUACUGCUCGUGGUAUGGAUUUCUACAAGCUGGAUAGGAGGCAGUGUGCUUUUUAGUCCUGCUACUGCUCGUGGUAAUCGAUAAUGUGUUCAUGUUGGUUGGCUGUCUGACGUCCACUCCAGUCUUUGUGUUGCACGAUGAAUGUAAAUGAGUCAUGUCUAAACAGUGAAGUACUACCUCCGUCCCAUAAUGUGAGACACUUUUGUAAGCUAUGUUCUUGUGACAUGGAAGAAAGUUGACACUAUCUACAAACCAUAUCGAUGAAUGAUAGCAGAGACCUGAAUAAUUUGC